ACAAAACCCGGUACACUAAUGGAGAUGACAUCACUGAUAAUACACAGCACGAGAUGCGGAUUGUUGAUUGUUCGAGAAAAAUAUACUAAGGAGUAUAAUGGUCUAAACCACAACAAGAUAAGAUAUACACAACAGCUCUAUAUAAUAAGAGCAAGUGCCUGGGGACAAGUACGGAGAUAUGGGGUCGAUAAAAUCCAUUAAAGAUAUGAUUGGGCAAUACGCACGCCCAGUUGCUGUUGCAGUGGUACUGGUUGCAAUCAGCCUGGCUGUGGUCUUCAUCUUUUGCAGACAAAAUGGUUACCGACAGAAUCGUCGACUAAAUAUACCACCUCACAUUGUACAAGCUAUUGACGAGGGGGAUGGGGGUGUCAUGGUGAUAGGUCGAUGACGGUAUGCCUACGCCCACAACACUCGAUUGACACAACGAAACACUGUAUACCACCUUAAUUUAUAUAUUUAUAUUACAAAAAGUCAUCUUAUUCAUUUGAGUUCUGAAUCAUUCAGUAUCAAAUGUGACACUAAAAUUAUAUACCUGCAUGUAUAAUAUGUAUAUCUCUCACUGCUACUGUGUAAUUAUAUAAUUAUGGAUAUACUACGCGAGUGUGUGUUUAGCAAGGAACUAUAUGAGCUAGAGUUACCCGAUACUUACAGAUGUUGUAGAUACCUCAGCCUUUGGGGUUUGAGAACACAUACUAUAGAUACCUCACAUGCCCGUGAUCUAACUAUUACGUAGUGGUUGUUAAAAAUGAUAAUCAUUAAGGCUUUCACAAUAUGACCCAGUACAUGAAAGGAUUGCCAAAUAUCAAAGUGUCAUCACUUCAACCACAUUAAUUAAAAGAAAACCACGAAAGAUCUUCAGAUUCACUUCAAAGAAAACUUAGGGUCAAUUAUAUGGACUGUGUUCUGCUGCUGGCAAUUACGAUCUGUGCUUCAUUUGCAACGCUCUUUCUGUAUAUCUUGUACAAAGUGUUGACUGAUAACAACUGCACAUUCCCCCUGUGUCCAUGCUACCAACCUCCCGAUGACAAUCAUGAUGAUGACCCUAACACGGCCUACCAAAGAGGGCCUUACAGUCAAGCUAAAGAGAAGCCUGACUAAAUGCAAAGGCAAAACUGCUCUAAGUAACAAUUAUAUGCAUGUAUAUCUACUAGGGAAAUGAUACGUGUAAUUGUAAGCUGCUAAAGGAUAGAAGUACAUUGUGCACACAUACCUGUCA